rnacentral:lncRNA from 1 species
GCCGAGGCCCGGCGCCGUAUCCUGCCGCCCGUUUUACCCGCGGAGACGCCGAGGCCCGAUGCCGUAUCCUGCCGCCCGUUUUACCCGCGGGAAAGCCGAGGCCCGGUGCUGUAUUCUGCCGCCCAUUUUACCCGCGGGGAAGCUGAGGCCCAGUGCUGUUUAAUAUCUUACUCAUGUUCACUUGAUGAGAAAGUGACAGAUCUGAGACAAACCCAGUUCUAGAGGUUAUGACACCAGCCAUGGAAGAGCAGAGAGGCCAAUGAGGUGGGGAGGUUGGAAACAAAAGGCCUUCUCCACCCCAGCUUGACCAACCCAAAAGCUGGAAGGCAAGGAAGACCUAGAUCGACAGAAAAGAAAUGAGUCAACGAUGGUGCAGAAAGGGACCAGCUUGACGAAGCUUCUGCUUUUGUGACUGUCUCCUAAUGAAACCAGAGCACCUCAGAAGAUCAAGGCUUCCAAAUUCUCCUGGGGGAACAGACGUCAGCCAUUCAGCACAAAGGAAACUUCCUUCUCUGUAUGUCAGAGGAAGACAUAAUUGUGCCAUUUCCUUCUUGAAGAAGUUUACAAACAUUUGCAAGUUGUCAAAAAUAAUUAGUCUAAAAUUGUUUCAUAAACCGUGGAAUGAAACAGGACGUGCCUUGUUGAGAUCAAAGGGCUUCUGUUACCUUCUUGUAAACUCAAAUGAAAUUCUUUUGAAAGUAAA